rnacentral:rRNA from 1 species
CCUACGGGAGGCAGCAGUGGGGAAUAUUGCACAAUGGGGGAAACCCUGAUGCAGCGAAGCCGCGUGAGUGAAGAAGGAAUUCUUUAUGUAAAGCUCUAUCAGCAGGGGAGCAAAUGACGGUACCUGUGUAAGCAGCCCCGGCUAACUACGUGCCAGCAGCCGCGGUUAUGCGUAGGGGGCAAGCGUUAUACGGAUUUACUGGGUGUAAAGGGGGCGUAGACGGCAGUGCAAGUCUGGAGUGAAAGGCGGGGGCUCAAACCCCGUACUGCUCUGGAAACUGGACGGCUGGAGUGCAGGAGAGGUAAGGGGAAUGCCUAGUGUAGCGGUGAAAUGCGUAGAUAUUAGGAGGAACACCAGUGGCGAAGGCGGCUUACUGGACUGUAACUGACGUUGAGGCUCGAAAGCGUGGGGAGCAAACAGGAUUAGAUACCCGAGUAGUC